AUGCGGCACAACGCGCGGCCCCUGGGUGUGCUGGCAGCCGUUGCCAAGGGACUCCUCCUGCUCUGGGCCGUGCCUGCUCACAGCACUCAGCCCCCAUCCCCGCAGCAGACCCAGGCCUUGCUGCGGCACAUGGCCGAGGAUGCACACGAGCUCUUCAAACUCUACGAACAGGAGCAGCACCUGGCCCAUAACUUGUGCCGGGCCAACAGCUCUCUGGAGUGGCUGCGGGGGACUUUGGGGACACGAGAGAAGGAUCUGCGGGCACUGCACGGCACCAUGACCCGCAUGGAGCGGGAGCUGCAGGACAUUUUCCAGCACCAGAGCAAUCUCCAUCCACCCGAUGCCACCAUCCUGCACCGCCUCCGCAGCGCCCGCAUGAAGGUGCGCGGGCUGCUGGCCCACCUGCAGGACACCAUGGAGGCCCGUGGCAUCGUCCCCUCCACCAUCCCUCCAUCCCGGGGGCCGGCGGCCAGCAAGGUUUUCCAGCAGAAGCUGCAGGGUUGCCGCGUGCUGUGGAAUUACGCCCACUUCGUGGCCAAGCUCAGCGCCCGCAUGGAGCGCAUGGAGAGCACGCGGGCACGGCGCGAGGAGAGGGGCCGGCGGCGAGGACGGCGGCGGGGAUGGAGGACAAACAGACCCUAA
rnacentral:lncRNA from 1 species